rnacentral:misc_RNA from 1 species
GAUGAAGAACGCAGCGAAAUGCGAUAAGUAAUGUGAAUUGCAGAAUUCAGUGAAUCAUCGAAUCUUUGAACGCACAUUGCGCCCGCCAGUAUUCUGGCGGGCAUGCCUGUUCGAGCGUCAUUUCAACCAUCAAGCCCCCGGCUUGUGUUGGGGACCUGCGGCUGCCGCAGGCCCUGAAAACCAGUGGCGGGCUCGCUGUCACACCGAGCGUAGUAGAUUUUCAUCUCGCUCAGGGCGUGCUGCGGGUUCCGGCCGUAAAAAGCCUUAUUUACCCAAGGUUGACCUCGGAGCAGGUAGGAAGACCCGCUGAACUUAAGCAUAUCAAUAAGCGGAGGA